rnacentral:rRNA from 1 species
GACGAACGCUGGCGGCGUGCUUAACACAUGCAAGUCGAACGGAAAGGCCCUGCUUUUGUGGGGUGCUCGAGUGGCGAACGGGUGAGUAACACGUGAGUAACCUGCCCUUGACUUUGGGAUAACUUCAGGGAACUGGGGAUAAUACCGGAUAGGAGCUCCUGCUGCAUGGUGGGGGUUGGAAAGUUUCGGCGGUUGGGGAUGGACUCGCGGCUUAUCGGCUUGUUGGUGGGGUAGUGGCUUACCAAGGCUUUGACGGGUAGCCGGCCUGAGAGGGUGACCGGGGACCUGGGGCCUGAGAUACGGCGCAGACGGCUACGGGAGGCAGCAGUGGGGAAUAUUGCACAAUGGGCCGAAGCCUGAGGCGGCAGCGCCGCGGGCGGGAUGAUGGCUUUCGGGUUGUAAACCGCUUUCGCCUGUGACGAAGCGUGAGUGACGGUAAUGGGUAAAGAAGCACCGGCUAACUACGUG